rnacentral:rRNA from 1 species
AGGAGGACAGUGGCGAAAGGGUGAGUAACACGUGAGUAUCUACCUCCAGGUCGGGAACAGCCCGCGGAAACGCGGAUUAAUGCCCGAUGGUCCCUUCGGGGUAAAGAGGAAUCGCCCGGAGACGAGCUCGCGGCCCAUCAGCUUGUUGGCGGGGUAACGGCCCACCAAGGCGACGACGGGUAGGUGGUCUGAGAGGAUGGUCACCCACACUGGGACUGAGAUACUGCCCAGACUCCUACGGGAGGCUGCAGUCGAGAAUCAUCCGCAAUGGGCGAAAGCCUGACGGUGCAAUGCCGCGUGGGGGAUGAAGGCCUUCGGGUCGUAAACCCCUGUCAGAGGGGACGAAAAACAUGACGGUACCCUCAGAGGAAGCCACGGCUAACUACGUGCCAGCAGCCGCGGUAAUACGUAGGUGGCGAGCGUUAUUCGGAUUUACUGGGCGUAAAGGGUCCGCAGGGGGUUUGCCGAGUCCGAUGUGAAAGUCCGCAGCUCAACUGCGGAACUGCGUCGGAUACUGGUGAACUUGAGUGCGCGAAGGGCGAGCGGAAUUCCAGGUGUAGCGGUGGAAUGCGUAGAUAUCUGGAAGAACACCGGCGGCGAAAGCGGCUCGCUGGCGCGCCACUGACCCUCAUGGACGAAAGCGUGGGGAGCGAGCAGGAUUAGAUACCCUGGUAGUCCACGCUGUAAACGGUGCAGACUCGAUGCGGGGGGCGGUCCCCUCCGUGUCUAAGCCAACGCGUUAAGUCUGCCGCCUGGGGACUACGGCCGCAAGGGCUAAAACUCAAAGGAAUUGACGGGGGCCCGCACAAGCGGUGGAGCAUGUGGCUUAAUUCGAGGCAACGCGAAGAACCUUACCCGGGCUUGACAUAUUCCGGACCGCCUGUGAAAGCAGGUUUUCCCUUCGGGGACCGGUAUACAGUGCUGCAUGGCUGUCGUCAGCUCGUGCCGUGAGGUGUUCGGUUAAGUNCCGGCAACGAGCGCAACCCGUAUCGUCAGUUGCCAUCAGGUAAUGCUGGGCACUCUGGCGAGACUGCCCGUGUCAAGCGGGAGGAAGGCGCGGGACGACGUCAAGUC